UACGUAGGGUGCGAGCGUUGUCCGGAAUUAUUGGGCGUAAAGAGCUCGUAGGUGGCUUGUUGCGUCUGCCGUGAAAGCCCGUGGCUUAACUACGGGUCUGCGGUGGAUACGGGCAGGCUAGAGGCUGGUAGGGGCGAGCGGAAUUCCUGGUGUAGCGGUGAAAUGCGCAGAUAUCAGGAGGAACACCGGUGGCGAAGGCGGCUUGCUGGGCCAGUUCUGACGCUGAGGAGCGAAAGCGUGGGGAGCGAACAGG
rnacentral:rRNA from 1 species